CUUAUAUAAUCCUCCCAAUGAGCCUGUGAUGAUCUUGCCUGAGGCCAGUGCUCUUUCCUUGCUCUCACUACGUAUAGAACCUGCUCUCACAGCAUUACAAGACGGAGACAGUAGACUCUGACAGGCAUAGAGGGCUCUGGAUCCUGAUUGUCUGGGCUCAAAUCUCUCUUCUGCCACUUCCUAGCUGUGUGACUUUGGACACAGCCUCACUGUAUCACCAAGGCUAGAGAGCAGUGGCGUGAUCUUGGCUCCCUGUAGCCUCUACCUCCCAGGUUCAAGUGAUUCUCGUGCCUUAGCCUCCUGAGUAGCUGGGAUUACAGGCACAUGCCACCACGCCGAGCUAAUUUCUGUAUUUUUAGUAGAGACAGGGUUUCACCAUGUGGGCCAGGCUGGUCUCGAACUUCUGACCUCAGGUGAUCCGUCCACCUUGGCCUCCCAAAGUGCUGAGAUUACAGGCAUGAGCCACUGUGCCUGGCCAGUUUAGUCUUUAACUUGUUUUUAAAAGGGCUCAAUCGCAUAAUAAGUUCUCCAUCCAUCUUAGUAGUUGCUAAUAGCAUUAACAGAAAACACAUAGAUUCUGUGAUUAGAUGGGCCUGAUUUCUUCUCAUAUUCGCCCUGUGUGGCUUUGGACAAGUCAUGUCACAUCCUGAGUCUCAGUUUCCCCAUCUGCUAAACUGGGGUCUUGAAACCUACCUCAGAGAGGGCUGUUGCGAGGGUGAGAUAGGAUGUGAGUGAAGCACUAGCACUGGUGCCUGGGGGUUCCCUUCCUGAUGGGCCGGAUUGGUCUGUGUUUGUUGCCUUUUAGACAAGAAGUUCCAUGAAGGUGGGCUUCAUGUCUGUGUCAGGGCUGUAUCCCCUGCCUCUCUGUACCUGGCACAUAGUAGAUGUUCAAUAAGUAGUUUUUCACUGGAUGAAUGAAUCAAUAGUAACAAGGGACCAUGCUUUGCUCACCUUUGUGUCCA
rnacentral:lncRNA from 10 species